AGCUCUCCUUACUUCUCCCGGAGAGUGGGCAAUUCUCCAAAGGGGCCCUGCUGGGUGUCCAGGUUGAAUCACAGAGCCACCGAAGGGUGUCUCCAACAGGGUUACCGACCUCUCUGCCCAGGAGGUGGAAAAAGGAAGAUGAUUUCAUCUUAGCUGCCUAAAUGCCUUCAAACCUGAAAAUCCUGCCCUCCAGUCUACCCCCUGGCCUGGGGAGGGGGACCCAUUCACAAACUGAUCAGUGGUGCAUGUUCCAUCUCCACAAUCAUGGAAAAUGCCGAGGGGGCAGAAACCAGGCCGUAAUUUCAACAGUAAUGAGCCUCUUCUUUGUCUCUCCCUGCGAGAUACCAACUGGACAAGAGUAGGACACGUGUCUACGUUGUUCACUGCGGGUACCCCCAUGCCUGGAACAAUGUUGUAUAACGAUGUCAUAUAACAAUGAAAUA